CAGGUUUCUACUUUACUUUUAAGGUUGCAUGGCCAUCCAGGUGAAUGGUCAUUCACUGGUCUGAUUUUAAAACAUCGAAAGAGUGACUGGCAUUUGCAGAAUUGCUGGAACCCAAGCUGCUAUAUCUAAGAAGAGCCUUCUGUGCCUUUCCUAGGGAAGUGUUUGACUUCCCAAAGGCUUUGAGCUGAGCUGUAGGCGGCAACAGAGCAGGUAUAUUCUCCAUCCUUUCCCACCCUGUGCUGUACCCUAACACUGUGCUGUUUGAACCCCAAGACUCCUUUGGCUCUUUCAUUUGGUCCAUGAGGAGCCAUACAGACCAGAAGUUAAGGACAAAGUAUCUCUUCACAGACUAUACAAGGAAAACUGCUCCCCUCUGCACUGGGUUCCCCUCUGCACUGGGAAAUGCUGAGAAGCACCCCCUGCCCCACGCUUGGAAGCCAGACAAGAGUGUCCUGCAUCCUGCCAGAAGGCAGAAAGUGCUCUGGAAUUGAGAUCCUCAUCACUGGACAUGUUUCAAAUAGCUGCUAACAUUUUCAGGUUUUAGCUUUUUGAGACUUUGGGAUUUGAUUGGGGGAAGGGAUUGUUUUGUUUUCUUUGUUUUUCUUGUGUCUUUUUGACAGGGGUCCUGGGAAUAGCGCUCAGGAACUCAUCUGCUAAGCAAGAGCUCUACCACUGAACUACAUGCAUCCCAAGCCCAAGGCUGAUGACUUCCCGAUGAGAAUGCUACAGAAGCUCAAAAGUCCUUUCCAACUUGUGAACUUAGUGAUCUGUGGAACCCCUCCGGGGGAGGGGGGGCGUGGACGGGGGCUUGUUUCCAGUGA